rnacentral:rRNA from 1 species
AGGAGCAAACAUAUCAGCACUGAUGCACGGGAUUCCAUCAGAAUUCCGCAGUUAAGCGUGCUUGGACGAGAAUAGUUCUAUGAUGGGCUUGUC